GUACUUUUUUCUUAUUCAACAGAGUAGCUUUUAUUGAUUAAUUUUUUUCAUAAUGGGGCAGGGAUGGAGAAUCCCUGAUUUGAAUAUUGCAGGUAUGAAUGCAUGAAGGGGGUGAAAAUGCUUAACAGGGACAGGGAUUGGAAUGGUAUACCCACCCCGAUUCGACCCAUUGCCACCACUCGUCGCUUGCUCUCACACCCUCAAGCCGCAUCAUCUGUCUCCAUAUUCAGAGGUCGUAGAAAGAGUGGCAGUUCGGGCUGAGAAAUAAAGAUUCUCUACUGAUACAUAACCAAAAUAUCAAUUUCACCCCCUCAUCUGUUUUCUUUUCUGGGUUAAGAAGUUUUUCCUCUUUGUUUCAAUUGGACCAAUAUCAAAAUGCAACAGGCAAAUCAGAAUUACAGUAGCAAAUAAAUUUGUCUUUACUGAGAGACCAUAAAAAAUACAGGUGGAUGAGUUGAAGCAAGACCUGGGGUACUAGAAGAAUCUAGCAGAGCAUGUUACCAAACAGAUUGCAAAGCAUAAAUUUGAAAGAAUGUAAUCCCAAUGGCAGAAGGGGAAAUACCAAUACUAUUUAUUCUUGUACAUUGAGGAAAUACUUGUAACUUAAUGCAGUGGUUCCUCCACUUGUGUUCUUGGACAUAUUGUAAGCUUUUAGAUUAGCAAGUUAACAGAGGAUAAAUAACCAAUAAUAAAAUGGUAAAGUUUAACAAAUA